CAUAGGGUGGUUGCAUCCAAGCAUAAAAGUGAAGCCAUGUGAGAAAACAAAUAUACCUUAAUGAUUAUUGUGGUUGCAAUAUUUCCAGGUAUAGUAAUUUGUAAGUAAUUGAAUUGCAGUUUUUAUUUUGUGUAUUUGUCUCAAGGAAAGUGGUUGACGUGAAUUAGUUAUUGGUUUAGUUAGUUCCAAGCCUUUUUAUUAUUAUUUUUAUUUUUAAAUCACUGCUAUUAUUUUGGAAUAGGAUGUGGCUUUUGUCAUUGAUGGCUGGGCUUUUGAAAUUGCACUUAAGCAUUACAGGAAACCGUUCACUGAACUAUCAAUUUUGUCAAGGACAACUAUAUGUUGCCAUGUUACACCAUCUCAAAAAGCACAGUCAUAUCAGAAGGCUCUGAGAGCGGACCCUUCAUACAAACCUGCAGCAGAAUACCAGGCAAUUGUUUUUACAGAUCUCGGAACUAGCUUAAAGCUUGUUGCCAACGCUCAGGAGGGAAUACAGAAAUAUUACGAAGCUAUUAAAAUAGAUCCGCAUUAUGCUCCUGCAUAUUAUAACCUUGGUGUUGUUUAUUCUGAAAUGAUGCAAUAUGAUAUGGCCCUUGGUUGCUAUGAGAAGCUGCAUUAGAGAGGCCCAUGUAUGCUGAAGCCUACUGCAACAUGGGUGUCAUCUAUAAGAAUCGUGGAGACUUGGAAUCAGCUCUUGCCUGUUAUGAGAGGUGUCUUGCUGUGUGUCCAAACUUCGAGAUUGCAAAGAACAACAUGGCAAUUGCAUUGACAGAUUUAGGAACAAAGAUUGGAUUAAAGUGGCAUUUUUGACGUGCAACAAUGAUGUAAUUUGCUUGAAUGUUUAUUUUUGUUUGAUAAGGAUACACAUUUUUUGGAGUUGCACUAGUUAUUGUUGGAUUUUUGGUGGAAUUGAACAAGUUAUAACUUUUGGAUAUUU